rnacentral:misc_RNA from 1 species
GUGAAUCAUCGAAUCUUUGAACGCAAAUGGCACUGUCGGGAUAGGCCUGACAGUACGUUUCUUUCAGCGUCGUUUCAACAACAUCAAGGCUGCGCCUUUAUUGGUGCAAUCUUGGACAUUGAGUGUCACAUUUCUAACGAAGUGUGUCGCUUUAAACUUAGCGGAUCGGCAUGUGCUAAAGCACACUGCACUAAUUACUUGACAGUGACGUGGAUAAUUUCACUAUUUGUGAAUCUUUACGUGACUGCUCAACGAAAGGUACAUGUGAGGCUUGGCGCAAAGGCUCGAACCGAACUGAGG